AACGAACGCUGGCGGCGCGUUUUAAGCAUGCAAGUCGGACGGUAGGCGAGUGGCAACACUUGCUGAGAGUGGCGAACGGGUGAGUAAUAUAUCGGAACGUGCCCAGUCGUGGGGGGAUAACGUAGCGAAAGCUACGCUAAUACCGCAUACGAUCUAUGGAUGAAAGCGGGGGAUCGCAAGACCUCGCGCGAUUGGAGCGGCCGAUAUCAGAUUAGGUUGUUGGUGGGGUAAAAGCCCACCAAGCCGACGAUCUGUAGCUGGUCUGAGAGGACGACCAGCCACACUGGGACUGAGACACGGCCCAGACUCCUACGGGAGGCUG
rnacentral:rRNA from 1 species